CUGAAUCAGUGUGUGUGUUAGUGGAAGCGUCUGGAAAGGCGUGCGAUACAGGGUGACAGCCCCGUACACAAAAAUGCACAUACUGUGAGCUCGAUGAGUAGGGCGGGACACGUGGUAUCCUGUCUGAAUAUGGGGGGACCAUCCUCCAAGGCUAAAUACUCCUGACUGACCGAUAGUGAACCAGUACCGUGAGGGAAAGGCGAAAAGAACCCCGGCGAGGGGAGUGAAAAAGAACCUGAAACCGUGUACGUACAAGCAGUGGGAGCCUCUUUAUGGGGUGACUGCGUACCUUUUGUAUAAUGGGUCAGCGACUUAUAUUCUGUAGCAAGGUUAACCGAAUAGGGGAGCCGAAGGGAAACCGAGUCUUAACUGGGCGUUAAGUUGCAGGGUAUAGACCCGAAACCCGGUGAUCUAGCCAUGGGCAGGUUGAAGGUUGGGUAACACUAACUGGAGGACCGAACCGACUAAUGUUGAAAAAUUAGCGGAUGACUUGUGGCUGGGGGUGAAAGGCCAAUCAAACCGGGAGAUAGCUGGUUCUCCCCGAAAGCUAUUUAGGUAGCGCCUCGUGAAUUCAUCUCCGGGGGUAGAGCACUGUUUCGGCAAGGGGGUCAUCCCGACUUACCAACCCGAUGCAAACUGCGAAUACCGGAGAAUGUUAUCACGGGAGACACACGGCGGGUGCUAACGUCCGUCGUGAAGAGGGAAACAACCCAGACCGCCAGCUAAGGUCCCAAAGUCAUGGUUAAGUGGGAAACGAUGUGGGAAGGCCCAGACAGCCAGGAUGUUGGCUUAGAAGCAGCCAUCAUUUAAAGAAAGCGUAAUAGCUCACUGGUCGAGUCGGCCUGCGCGGAAGAUGUAACGGGGCUAAACCAUG
rnacentral:rRNA from 1 species